rnacentral:rRNA from 1 species
UGGGGGAUAUUGCGCAAUGGGGGCAACCCUGACGCAACAACGCCGCGUGAAGGAUGAAGGUUUUCGGAUUGUAAACUUCUUUUAUUAAGGACGAAACUUGACGGUACUUAAUGAAUAAGCUCCGGCUAACUACGUGCCAGCAGCCGCGGUAAUACGUAGGGAGCAAGCGUUGUCCGGAUUUACUGGGUGUAAAGGGUGCGUAGGCGGCUUUGCAAGUCAGAUGUGAAAUCUAUGGGCUCAACCCAUAAACUGCAUUUGAAACUGUAGAGCUUGAGUGAAGUAGAGGCAGGCGGAAUUCCCCGUGUAGCGGUGAAAUGCGUAGAGAUGGGGAGGAACACCAGUGGCGAAGGCGGCCUGCUGGGCUUUAACUGACGCUGAGGCACGAAAGCGUGGGUAGCAAACAGGAUUAGAUACCCUGGUAGUCCACGCUGUAAACGAUGAUUACUAGGUGUGGGGGGUCUGACCCCUUCCGUGCCGGAGUUAACACAAUAAGUAAUCCACCUGGGGAGUACGGCCGCAAGGUUGAAACUCAAAGGAAUUGACGGGGGCCCGCACAAGCAGUGGAGUAUGUGGUUUAAUUCGAAGCAACGCGAAGAACCUUACCAGGUCUUGACAUCCAACUAACGAAGUAGAGAUACAUUAGGUGCCCUUCGGGGAAAGUUGAGACAGGUGGUGCAUGGUUGUCGUCAGCUCGUGUCGUGAGAUGUUGGGUUAAGUCCCGCAACGAGCGCAACCCUUGCUAUUAGUUGCUACGCAAGAGCACUCUAAUAGGACUGCCGUUGACAAAACGGAGGAAGGUGGGGACGACGUCAAAUCAUCAUGCCCCUUAUGACCUGGGCUACACACGUACUACAAUGGAUGUUAACAGAGGGAAGCAAGACAGCGAUGUGGAGCAAACCCCUAAAAACAUUCUCAGUUCAGAUUGCAGGCUGCAACCCGCCUGCAUGAAGAUGGAAUUGCUAGUAAUCGCGGAUCAGCAUGCCGCGGUGAAUACGUUCCC